UACGUAGGGUGCAAGCGUUAUCCGGAAUUAUUGGGCGUAAGGAGCUCGUAGGCGGUUUGUCGCGUCUGCUGUGAAAACUGGAGGCUCAACCUCCAGCCUGCAGUGGGUACGGGCAGACUAGAGUGCGGUAGGGGAGAUUGGAAUUCCUGGUGUAGCGGUGGAAUGCGCAGAUAUCAGGAGGAACACCGAUGGCGAAGGCAGAUCUCUGGGCCGUAACUGACGCUGAGGAGCGAAAGCGUGGGGAGCGAACAGG
rnacentral:rRNA from 1 species